UCUACUGAGUACUAACUCUUACAUUCUGUUUCAGCUGAGUACGCUGGGCUACCAUUAACUCCAGCAUAUAUGCAACCUGGUAAACAUAUAUUCAUACCUGGCAUCUGGAGGAGCAGAUGCUCUUGUUAAAACUCACCAAGGAUAUUUGUACGUGAUGUUUACUCAGCUUCACCAAUUGUUUAUAACUAGCUUUGAUUUGUUAAGAUUUAAAUUAGUUCAAGUUAACUAACUGUUACACUCGAGUAUUUGAUUCAUUAAUUGGUAUAUGAUAUUCCUGCCUAAAGAAUAUGAUACAAAUUCCCUCUCUCCCAAUUUUUUUUAUAAAAAAUUUAACUGUGAUCUAAUUCCUCUUGCGGAACUUUUUCUUUUUCUUUAUUUUAGCAUGAUGUUUAGUUCUUCAAUUCACAUUUGUUUCUUUCUAGGUGAUACGAAAGCCCACAAAUUGUUGUCCAGAGCUGUCUACUUGCUUAGCGUAGGAACGAAUAAUGACCUGUUUCCUUUUCUCUGAAACUAAAGCGUGCUUCAAUCAUAUUCGCAAGGAGAACUAGUUGCAAUGGUCAUAGGAAACAUGACUGUUGCAAUCAUAGUACACUCAAAUACUAAAAUCUUAAUUCUACCAUUAUUUUUUACCUCCCUCUUUUUUGUUGGUUGCUGGCAAUAUACUGUUAAAAUGGCUUAGGAAACAAGAAAGGAGGAAGGAAGUUUGGUUUUGUGAAUUUGAUUCCACUAGGUAGCAGAGAUUCUUUCCAUGGAUGAAGGAACCAAGCGAGCACAACUGCAUAAUAAAGCACUUCCCAGUGCCUGCCACCAGAAUCUAAAAACCAAUCGGGAAAAUUCGAAUAUUGAUAUCACAACUUGUUCGAAAACGGAGGGAUUGACCUUCAAAAUAUGGUUUUAAGGAAGGGAAGGACUGCGUCUUGUGCCAGUGGUGCGACUAUAGUGCGUGACAGUUCAGGUGCAGGACAGAAAACCAUGUCGCUUUGUUCAUCUUUGGCGACUCACUUUUUGAUGCUGGAAACAACAACUAUAUCAACACCACUGUUAAUUAUCAGGCAAACUUUUGGCCGUAUGGUGAAACCUUCUUCAAGUACCCAACUGGCCGAUUUUCUGAUGGGCGUCUCCUUCCAGAUUUCAUUGCUGAGUAUGCAGGGUUACCUUUAAUUCCACCAUACUUCCAACCUGUCAACAACAAAUUUGUGGAUGGAGUGAACUUCGCUUCUGCAGGAGCUGGUGCUCUCGUUGAAACGCAUCAAGGAUUUGUAUGUGAUGUUUGUUCAUUAGCUUGUUUGUUUGUGAUUGAAGUCACUUCAGGCAUAAACACAUCCACCCUCAUACAUAGUGAUUUUAGUUAUAUUCUAGCAUUGACAAUGAAAAGUGUAUUGCUAUGGCUUUUUCUCUUUUAUUUCUAACCACGGUGUACGUUUUCAUUUUCU